AGGGGGUUAGCGUGGUUCUCCCUUGUCAGUGAUGCAGGACGGAGGGCCUGACAAGGAAAGCUGUCUAGUCGUUCGGAUGGGACGAAAAACCGAGGCCCUGUGUACUCAUUGGCGUGCACGUAAAAGAUCCCUUUUGGCAGUUGGAAUUCGAUAUAAGAGUAGGCCGUAGUGCCGCUGUCCGGGCAAAAUUUCCCUCAUAGCACACUGUAUGGCGUAUGCCCGUCUUCAUUAGCCCAGGUUAGGAGCAGAACAGUAGGACGUUAAACCCCAUUUCAUUUCAUUUUGUAGGGGGUUAUGUACAUGCUAGAACUCAUACUAGAGAACAGGAUUAUUCUUGUGAUAUGUAUAGACUUACAAUAUGAUUGAGACAGAAGUUGUAUAUCUGUGGUAAAUAACCAGAUGAUAACGUUAUAUAAUAUAGAUCAGGUUAUGGAAUGUUAUACCUUGUAUAUAUAUCCAUGUAAUAUAGAUCAGACAGAUGAUAAUGUUAUAUAAUAUAGAUCAGGUUAUUAUCUGCCAUACUAUGUAUAUAUAUCUAUGUAAUAUAGAUCAGAUAUAUGUUAUACCAUGUAUGAUAAUGUUAUAUAAUAUAGAUCAUGUUAUACCAUGUAUAUUUACGAACAGUUCCUUGGUCGGGUGUUUGAUCCCUGCAUUGGCCGAGAAAGUUCCGAUUUUCCAGCGUGGUUCCCCCUUGUCAGUGAUGCAGGACGGAGGACCUGACAAAGGACAGCUGUCUAGUCGUUCAGAUGAGACGAAAAUCUGAGGUACCGUGUACACAUUGGCGUGCACGUAAAAGAUCCCUUGACAGUUGGAAUUCGAUAUAAGAGUAGGCCGUAGUGCCGCUGUCCAGGCAAAAUUUCCCUCAUAGCACAUUGUAUGGUGUAUGCCCGUCUUCAUUAGCCCAGUUCGGAGCAAAACAGUAGGACGUUAAACCCCAUUUCAUUUCAUUUCAUUUCAGUUUUCGGCAAUCGACCAACAGUGGAUAUUAUAAGACUCUAACGAUUUAUAUGCCUUUAUGUCAUUUAGGGUAUAUGUACUUUGUGUAUUCACAAGAUAGUUAACAAUAUCGGGAUACUGGAUUUCUGGAUAUUUGUUUUCAGUUGACCAUUCUUUCUUCGGUAUUUUGUAUGGAUCUUUAUCAUCAAUUAGAUUAAUUUUAUCGAAGUACCGAGCUUUGGAAAUUGGAUCAAAAGUGUCAGCAUACCUGGUUUUUGAUGAUAAACUGUUCAAUUUGUCCGUCGUAUUAAAAUCUCUCUUAAAAAUCGGGUGUUAAAUCAGUAACGUCAACACCGGUUGAACAUGCUUUGAGUGUCAGCAUACCACAAGAUGGUGGAUGUCAAGUGGAAUCCCUGGAUGUUGACGUCAGUAAAAACCAUGUAUUGACUAUAAAAAUUACUAUCUUUAUCGACAGUAAAAACUUCAUUGAAGACGUAUUUAUAUAUACAGUGUAGGUUGUGUUUAGUGGUUGCUUUGUGUUGAACUUUCAUUUUACAGAAGAGAAUCUCAAACACUUUGAACAUACUGUAUUCUCUCUGUGUAUGUGGAAUAUCCUCUAUACGUGACAUUAACAACAGGAAGACACCACAACUUGUAAUAUUUAUAAUAAACAUGUAUAUCAUUAUCUACCAGAAAUAUUCUACAUGAAAUCAUAAACUAUUAUAACCUACUGGGUUAACUUCAUAAAUUAGGAACAACUUUUGCUUUAUUUUACCAGAUAUAACAAAUUAGUGAAUCUUCAAAAAUGGUUUGAGUCAACUGGCGUGGUUUCGAAUCCUCGGUUGUAUGUGACAAUAAUAAUAAUAUGAUAAUCCUCUAUUCAUAUAGCGCGAUAAUACUAAAACUAAAGUUUCUAUUGCGCUUUUCAAGUUUUCUUGCUUGAACUACAGAAAUGCUUCUGUAAACAGAAACAUCUUUAGCUGAGAUUUAAAUACAUCUAGGGAGUCAAUUGUUCUAAUGUGGUAAGGCAACAAAAUCCAUAAUAGAGGAGCAGAGAACGAGAAAGAUCUUUUUUUGCUAUUUCAAGAUUCACUGAUGGUUGAUACAGAAUUGUUUAUCUGUGGAUCUAAGAGUUCUCAUGGAUUUAUAUGGGGUAAUCAGAUCUUUGAUAUAUUUUGGUGAUUGAUCAUGUAACGCCUUGAAAGUUAACAGUAAUAUUUUGAACUUGAUUCGUUGUUGAACUGGGAGCAAAUGUAGAGUAGGGUUGCUUGUCCAACCUCGUGGGUUUUCUUCGGGUCCUCCGGUUUCCUUCCACUGCUAAAGACUCCUACGCGCAAGCAAAUUAUUGAAAUAAAAUUAAACCAUGUUUAGUCCCGAAAUGACCUAGUCUGUGUCAAGUGGAUGUUAAACCAUAUUUCUCUCUCUCUCUCUCAAAAAUGGUUCUUCUUGUGAACAAGAAAAAUAAAAUCUGUAAAAAAGGAGUUUUAAUUAGUUUGUUUAUGAAUGAAAAAUAAAGGAAAUAAUAUAACUUGGCAGCCUUUUGAACAAUAAAAGAUAUUUAUCAUAAGCUGGAGGCGGGGUAAAGGGAAACAGAAUGGGGGUCAGUGGUGGAAGGUGUAAAGGGAAAUAGAGGGAAUGGGUGACCGGAUAGUUUGUCAUUGAGUCAACUGGCGUGGAUUCAAUUCCCCUGUUGAACGUGACAAGGAGUAGGGUUGCCCCCCUCCCUCUCUCUCUCUCACUCAUUCAUAUUGAUAAGUUAAGUUAUGGAUUAAAUACCCUCGCAGAUACAAUGACGAAUCCUGAAGUCCAAAUAUGAAUUACUCGGGCUGGAGAAGGUCCACGUCACAUUUAAAACUCAACCAAUGGUACAAAAUGGCUGCCGUCUGAUCGAGCAAUCCAGAGAUAUUUUAUUACUUUAAUGUAUCUUACGGGUAUUAAGCUUCAUUAUAGAUGAUUGAGAUACAUUAUUUAAUGUUCUAUUAAAUACGAAGAAACAUAAUAACCUUCAGUGACAUUAGAAGUAAAAAGUAAGUUUUGGUGUAAAGGAUGAAACUGAUGUUUACAAGCUAACAACUCAAGAGAUUUGAAGUGACUUUAUAGCGGAAUUUCUUACAGUUAAAGAGAGAAGAAUCAAGAGAAAAGCUGAAAAUGUCAAAGCAUUCCAUUGCCAAUAAAAACUAUAAAUGUGAUAUUUGUGGUAAAUCUCUAACAAGCUAUUCUCAUUUAAAUAGUCACAUUAUGAUUCAUACUGGUGAGAAGCCAUAUAAAUGUGAUGUUUGUGAUAAAUCAUUUAUACAAAAGAGCAAUUUGAAAACACACAACAAAAGUCAUACUGGUGACAGACCUUUUCCUUGUGAUGUUUGUAGUAAAUCAUUUACCACUAAUAGUCAUCUACGUGUACACGUACUUACACACACCCGAACUCAAACCGGAGAAAACCCUUUUUCUUGUAGUAUUUGUAGAAAAUUGUUUAAGCGAAAGGGUAAUCUACAGAAACACAUGAACACACAUAUUGGAGUAAAAUCUUUUUCUUGUGAUGUUUGUCGUAAAUCGUUUACGCGAAAGGGUAAUAUAAAAAAACACAUGAGACUCCAUACUAGAGAAAAAUCGUUUGCUUGUGAUUUUUGUAGUGAAUCAUUUACCACUAAUAAUGAUCUAAGACGACACACAAGUAGUUGUCCUGUUAAAAUAGAAAGAGAUGCAAGUACAAGUAUGUAUAGACUAGAUUGUAAAUAUAUAUAAGUAUGUCUGUGGUAAAAAAUCAUAUUGUUAAAUGUAUUACUUUUACGUCAGAAUAGUUAUGGUUAUUUUUAUGUUAGAAAAUGAUGUAAUAAUUUAUUCGCUUUGAAUAACGGUAAUUUUGGAUCAAAUAAUUAUACCAGUGUGUGUACAUUCUAACAAAUGAUAAAUAUGUGGAAUUCAGACAUAAUAUUAACAUAUUUGUUAUUAGUUAUAAAUUGAAUGUUAAUCUAAAGUAAAUUUUUGUGUCAGGAUUCAAACUGUUAGUGUAUGGUUAAUUUCUAAUCUAAACUGAAAGCUGAUAGCUGCACAAAGAGUGGAAAUUUGAUCAAAGUUGAUAUGCCUUCAACAAACUGGACCUCUAUUAUGGUGACAGGGUUUUCAGAAAAGGGUGGUAAUUGUGACAAACUACUCUAUAACUUUCAUCAAAUUGAACGAUCAUUUAGGUGUAGAGAACUUAUUGACCUAAGGUGUUUUUGAUAAUAUAUGAUAUUGACUUUUUAAAUUCUGUUAAGGCACACGGACUGGCUAUGAUCUAAAACAUGUAAUUAAUCCCAUAUGUCAUUUACAAACUACAUUUGCUCUGUGUACAAGAUCCACAUGACUUCAAAGCAAUAUGCACUGGUCAGUAAGCAUACCGUGACGUGAUAAAUAGACAAUUGCAUGCAUGAUCAUGAGUCUUAUCUAUUCUCCGGCGCUAUAUAAUCAGGAGUGUACCGACAGUUAUGCAGACGACUUGAGACAAGGGGAGACGACUAGACAAGCAGAGAAGCAGACAAGAGACCAGCGUAUGGACUCGAGUUCAGACGAUGUCUUGGCAAAUGGAGGAAUGGUGGAUUUAAUAUUGUUAUAUAUGUUCCUGUCGUAGUCUAGUUCCCGAUGUAGUUUAGUUCCCGUUGUAGUUUAGUUCCCGUUGUAUGUAUGUAACUGUAGCUGUUUUAUAUACCUGAUGUAAAUAAAUCAUAUAUUUACUUAA